UAGCUUAGUUUGUAAAGCGCUCGUCUAGCAUACAAGAGUCCUGGGUUCAAAUUCCAG
rnacentral:tRNA from 1 species